rnacentral:rRNA from 1 species
GCAAAACGCGAAGAACCUUACCCACCUUUGACAUGUACGGAAUCCUUUAGAGAUAGAGGAGUGCUCGAAAGAGAGCCGUAACACAGGUGCUGCAUGGCUGUCGUCAGCUCGUGUCGUGAGAUGUCGGGUUAAGUCCCGCAACGAGCGCAACCCUUGCCAUUAGUUGCUACAUUUAGUUGAGCACUCUAAUGGGACUGCCGGUGACAAACCGGAGGAAGGUGGGGAUGACGUCAAGUCCUCAUGGCCCUUAUAGGUGGGGCUACACACGUCAUACAAUGGCUGGUACAAAGGGUUGCCAACCCGCGAGGGGGAGCUAAUCCCAUAAAGCCAGUCGUAGUCCGGAUCGCAGUCUGCAACUCGACUGCGUGAAGUCGGAAUCGCUAGUAAUCGUGGAUCAGAAUGUCACGGUGAAUACGUUCCCGGGUCUUGUACACACCG